rnacentral:rRNA from 1 species
UCGAGCGGCGAACGGGUGAGUAACGCGUGGAUAACCUGCCCAGAGGUGGGGGAUAACCCGGGGAAACUCGGGCUAAUACCGCAUGAUACCGAAAGGUCAAAGGGGGCUCGCAAGAGCUCUCGCCAUAGGAGGGGUCCGCGUCCGAUUAGCUAGUUGGUAGGGUAAUGGCCUACCAAGGCGACGAUCGGUAGCCGGCCUGAGAGGGUGAUCGGCCACACUGGAACUGAGACACGGUCCAG